CAGCAGCCGCGGUAAUACGUAGGUCCCGAGCGUUGUCCGGAUUUAUUGGGCGUAAAGCGAGCGCAGGCGGUUAGAUAAGUCUGAAGUUAAAGGCUGUGGCUUAACCAUAGUACGCUUUGGAAACUGUUUAACUUGAGUGCGAGAGGGGAGAGUGGAGUUCCACGUGUAGCGGUGAAAUGCGUAGAUACAUGGAGGAACACCGGUGGCGAAAGCGGCUCUCUGGCUUGUAGCUGACGCUGAGGCUCGAAAGCGUGGGGCGCAAACAGGAUUAGAUACCCCAGUAGUCCCUGUCUCUUAUACA
rnacentral:rRNA from 1 species